UACGAAGGGGGCUAGCGUUGCUCGGAAUCACUGGGUGUAAAGCGCACGUAGGCGGCUUUUUAAGUCAGGGGUGAAAUCCUGGAGCUCAACUCCAGAACUGCCUUUGAUACUGAGAAGCUUGAGUCCGGGAGAGGUGAGUGGAACUGCGAGUGUAGAGGUGAAAUUCGUAGAUAUUCGCAAGAACACCAGUGGCGAAGGCGGCUCACUGGUCCGGUACUGACGCUGAGGUGCGAAAGCGUGGGGAGCAAACAGG
rnacentral:rRNA from 1 species